ensembl:ncRNA Y73B6BL.285 ncRNA
AACGAAGUUUUAAAUUUAAUAAAGUCAAUCUUUCUUGUUUCAUCUUCCUAUUAAAAUCAUUUUGUUUAUAUUGGGAGUAAUCAAAGACACGCCCGAAUUAAACAAAUUUCAGAAUCGAAUUAAUUUGGCAAAACGUGGAAAGAGGUGGA